AUUGUUCGGGCGACUCCCGGAGCGCGCACAGCCCGCUCACUGAGACGAGCGACUGCGGCCCCCGCCCGGCCCCGGCGCAGGCGACUCAGCCAGGCAGUCUGUAGGUGGCUUUUAAAGUUAUGCAUCAUGAACUGCAGACAGGUUUCGAAAAGCGCGUCCAAUGAACUCUAGGUUCGAAACCCUUUCCAACUCACACAGAACUUAAAAAGUUUUCUCCAACGGAGAAAACGUUUGGGAUUUAAUUUUUAAUAUAGAAGGGUGAAUGUAACCAAGUGAGCUACACUUUGUAUCCCGCCUGUAUUGAGAAAUCUUUGGGGAACGGGUUGGGGGGGCAUAUUAAAAUGCAACAAUCUCCUGAUCUUAUCUCUCCUAGGAUUCAGACUCCUUUAAAGUUUUGCAAGAGCAGAGUGUGAAACACUACCACAAAGUAGUGGAUUUGUUUCCCACCCAGUGUACUCCCUCUUUUGUAAAUCUUCAUAAAAAAGACUAGAAAACCCCUGUUAGGAAUACAUCUUGUAAUUAAGAUGAAUCGAACUUAAAAAGUAAAGCACUUUUUAAGCUUCAAAAAAAAAAAAAAAUCCUACAAACGUUAUUCUGUCUUAAAAGCAAAAGUCAAUUAGUACAAGAAAGUAAUUAUCACAGUUCUGAGUUCUUUUUACUUCAACUUAGUCAAUGGGUAAAUAACAAACUGCACUGAAAAGUAAAGAUAAACCCAGUUUCUCUACAGUAAUAUUCUGGACUAUAGUUUAUAUGUAGAAAUACUAAUUUAAAAGAUAAAGCCUAUAUAAGAAUUUUGCUAGUGGCAUUUUUAGUAGUAAUUAGUUAAUCUAAACACUGAACAGACUAUCGCUAUAAAUGAACCCUUUAUAGUGGGAUAAUUGAACAAUUGGCAAAUGCCGAAAAUCUACAUAUUUUACUUUAUUUUUCAGAAUAAAAAUCAGCAGAUGAAUUAAAAAUAAAAUAUGCUGUGUCAAAUUUAAAACACUGGGACCAGGAGAUGAAAAAAUGAUUUAUCACUCAAACUUUAUUUGGUCUGAACAUUAUGUUGUAAAACAAAACUUAAGAAAUGUAUGAAAUAAUUAUUUCCCUUUGUAAACAGUCUCUAUAUUUUAUUUACCAUGUGAAACACAGAUUUUUUUGUUCGCUCAAAAUUUGGGUAUCUGUAUUUCCAGUAAUUUCUGUGGUUGAGUCUUUUAAAGUAUAUGACAUUAGGGCCUGCCAUUUUUGCUUCAGAGGAGUGUUGUUUACUAAUUUUGUUUGAAGUAAUGCAAGGCUUUGGUUUUAGAAUCCUAAAAGAAAAUUUUUAUGUUACUUGGUCUGAAGAUAGGCUCUAUAAACUGCAGGUUAGUACUGAGAAGUAGGAUUUCCUCAAAACUAUUAUUUCAAAUCUAGGGAAGCCUACCAUAAUGAGACGAGAGAGGUGGGAACACCCAAGUUACUGUGGAGAAAUAUGGAAUAUGCAAUAGAAAAGUUGUUUAUUUGAUAUAGGCUGUAAUUGGAAACUGAAAAAUUCCUGCCUUGGGAAAAAGGUAUUCCAUUCUUUUGAAUCUAACAGGGGAGAAAGGAAACAGAAACCAUCAAUUAUUGUUUCAGCUAUACCCAAAGUACCAUCUGUACCGUAAACUAUAGCUUAACUGUUGAAAAUCAUAACCUCUAUCAAAGCUGUAACAGCUGUGUAUCCCAGAUUCUGCGUUUUAUUUUUUUUUAAACAGGCAAGCAUCAAUUUUUUUAAAAGUUUUAAAUGACACACUUCAACAUUCCACACUUUUCCCCAUUUAUUAACUUUAAAGAACAAUCGUUCAUUUAAAAUCCCUUUAAAAUUGAAAGUUAAAAAAGAUUUAUUGUGGAUACAUUAUCUCAUGGUGGGCUCUCUUGAGUGAACAUUUCUUAAUCCUUGGGAAAAUUUAUGUGAUGGAAAAAAAAGUCUUGGAUUGAAUAAAUGUAGAUUCUUAAAUCUCUAAAUAAAGCACAUACUAAUUUUAUACUUAAUAAAUUCAUUUACCUUUCUAUGGUGAUUAAGCUUAACUGUUAAGCACUAGUAUUUUUGUGAUAUUUUCCCAAUGCUAUGAUGUUUAUAGUAACAGUUAAUAUGAAAAUAUAAAUCAAGCUUAGACCUUCUCAAUGUUCAAGUCCACUUACAAUUCCUAUUAAUUUGAUUUCUGAAAAGGCUAUGAAUUUUGUUUUUGGGUUCUCUGUUACUUCUUCCUCUCCCAAAAAAAGAGCCUUUGCUAACAAAUGGAUUUUGAGGUAAAGUGAAAGUGGGGGACAGGAAGAAUAAAAUUCCAUUAAUUCCUCUUAGGUCAAGUUCUGUCUAUAUCUAGUGCUUCAGGGCAAAGCAAAUGCUUUUAACAAGGUG
rnacentral:lncRNA from 1 species